rnacentral:lncRNA from 1 species
CGACAUACCGACGACAACGGGUUUCAUUGAAAAUUGGAAAGGUCGUCGGUAUUUCGUCGGAAAAUACCGACGACAUGUUUUUCUAUAAAGUUUCAAUCAUAAAAAUCUAUAAAUUUAGAUGCCAAAACUAUGAAAAUAACACAUAAUAAGUGUUUAGUAUAGUAUUAGAUCGCAACCGUUCAAAUAUAACAACUCAUUAAAAUAUUUAUGUAUGGAUAUCAUUGUUUUCAUAACAUCUCAU